rnacentral:tRNA from 1 species
GAGGGUAUAGCUCAAGUGGUAGAGCGUGUGCUUAGCAUGCACAAGGUCCUGGGUUCAAUCCCCAGUAUCUCCU